rnacentral:lncRNA from 1 species
CUAUGAUGUUGAUACAAAGAUGAAAAAUAAGAUACACUUUCAGAUAAAUUGCAGUAGUUGCUAAUAGGGUAAAGCAUUCCAAGGCUCUUCGGAGGCUAGAAAUCAAUCAAAACAGAGACCCAGAGAGCUAAUAAGCUUUGAAACUAAAGCGGUGAGAGUCACUAAAUCUGAACCAAACUACUUACCUGAUGCGAGUAAGAGGUGUGAUAAGCCAAAAGAGGAGACGCACGGCAAGUCCACAAUCUACAAAAGAGGAGCAUGUGGAACAGAAUUAAGGAGCGACCUAGAGACGAAUCUACUACAGAAUCUAAACAAAAUCAACGGAGUUAGUGGAACAGAGAUCUAAAAGAUCGAUCUGAGAGAGCUUACCGAAAGGAACAAGGAGACGCCGACGGAGAGCUAGGGCAUCCGCUCGUCUAUCUCUUUUUUUUUUUUUUUUUUUGGGUGCAAACUUUUCACUACUGUGCUCUAUAAACGCAUCUGGUUUGCGUGUGCCGUUUAU